rnacentral:rRNA from 1 species
ACGAACGCUGGCGGCAGGCUUAACACAUGCAAGUCGAACGCCCUAGCAAUAGGGAGUGGCGCACGGGUGAGUAACGCGUGGGAAUGUACCGUUUAGUAAAGAAUAACCAAGGGAAACUUUGGCUAAUGCUUUAUACGCCCGAGAGGGGAAAGAUUUAUCGCUAAACGAUCAGCCCGCGUGAGAUUAGGUAGUUGGUGGGGUAAUGGCCUACCAAGCCUACGAUCUCUAGCUGGUCUGAGAGGAUGAUCAGCCACACUGGAACUGAGACACGGUCCAGACUCCUACGGGAGGCAGCAGUGGGGAAUAUUGGACAAUGGGGGAAACCCUGAUCCAGCCAUGCCGCGUGAGUGAUGAAGGCUUUAGGGUUGUAAAGCUCUUUCACCGAUGAAGAUAAUGACGGUAGUCGGAGAAGAAGCCCCGGCUAACUUCGU